UACGGAGGAUGCGAGCGUUAUCCGGAUUUAUUGGGUUUAAAGGGUGCGUAGGCGGACGCUUAAGUCAGCGGUAAAAUUGCGGGGCUCAACCUCGUCGAGCCGUUGAAACUGGGUGCCUUGAGUGGGCGAGAAGUACGCGGAAUGCGUGGUGUAGCGGUGAAAUGCAUAGAUAUCACGCAGAACUCCGAUUGCGAAGGCAGCGUACCGGCGCCCAACUGUCGCUGAAGCACGAAGGCGUGGGUAUCGAACAGG
rnacentral:rRNA from 1 species